rnacentral:misc_RNA from 1 species
UUAAGUUCAGCGGGUAUUCCUACCUGAUCCGAGGUCAACCUUGAGAAUUGGGGGGUUUUACGGCGUGGCCGGGCCAGGCACGUCCCGCGAGGUGUGCUACUACGCGGGGGUGCCAGGGCGCGACCGCCACUGGAUUUAGGGGACGGGCGACUCGCUGGGAGCGCCCGAGCCCCAACACCGGUUCCCCCGGGGCGCGAGGC